rnacentral:rRNA from 1 species
GACGAACUGUCCAAACGUUAUUCGGAAUCACUGGGCUUAAAGGGUGCGUAGGCGGACUUGCAAGUGGGAUCUGAAAUCCCCCGGCUCAACCGGGGAACUGGGUCUCAAACUGCGAGACUUGAGUAUCAGAGGGGAAAGCGGAAUUCCUGGUGGAGCGGUAAAAUGCGCAGAGAUCAGGAGGAACACCGGUGGCGAAGGCGGCUUUCUGGCUGACAACUGACGCUGAGGCGCGAAAGCGUGGGGAGCAAACAGGAUUAGAUACCCUCGUAGUCCCUGA